UACGUAGGGCGCAAGCGUUGUCCGGAAUUAUUGGGCGUAAAGAGCUCGUAGGCGGUCUGUCGCGUCCGUUGUGAAAACUCGAGGCUCAACCUCGGGCUUGCAGUGGAUACGGGCAGACUAGAGUGCGGUAGGGGAGACUGGAAUUCCUGGUGUAGCGGUGGAAUGCGCAGAUAUCAGGAGGAACACCGGUGGCGAAGGCGGGUCUCUGGGCAGUAACUGACGCUGAGGAGCGAAAGCGUGGGGAGCGAACAGG
rnacentral:rRNA from 1 species